rnacentral:rRNA from 1 species
UACAGAGGUCUCAAGCGUUGUUCGGAUUCAUUGGGCGUAAAGGGUGCGCAGGCGGCGAGGCAAGUCGGACGUGAAAUCCCGGGGCUUAACCCCGGAACUGCGUUCGAUACUGCCUUGCUUGAGGACUGGAGAGGAGACUGGAAUUCCUGGUGUAGCAGUGAAAUGCGUAGAUAUCAGGAGGAACGCCAAUGGCGAAGGCAAGUCUCUGGACAGUUCCUGACGCUCAUGCACGAAGGCCAGGGGAGCAAACGGG